UCAAAAAGACCGUCCCAGUUCGGAUCGCAGGCUGCAACCCGCCUGCGUGAAGUUGGAAUCGCUAGUAAUCGCGGAUCAGCAUGCCGCGGUGAAUACGUUCCCGGGCCUUGUACACACCGCCCGUCACACCAUGAGAGUCGGGAACACCCGAAGUCCGUAGCCUAACCGCAAGGGAGGAGCUGUCGAAGGCAGGCCCGGUAACUGGGGUGAAGUCGUAACAAGGUACC
rnacentral:rRNA from 1 species